rnacentral:rRNA from 1 species
GAUGAACGCUGGCGGUAUGCUUAACACAUGCAAGUCGAACGGACUCUUCGGAGUUAGUGGCGGACGGGUGAGUAACGCAUGAGAAUCUGGCUUUGGGUUCGGGACAACCACUGGAAACGGUGGCUAAUACCGGAUGUGCCGAGAGGUAAAAGAGAAAUUGCCUGAAGAUGAGCUCGCGUCUGAUUAGCUAGUUGGUGAGGUAAAGGCUCACCAAGGCAGCGAUCAGUAGCUGGUCUGAGAGGAUGACCAGCCACACUGGGACUGAGACACGGCCCAGACUCCUACGGGAGGCAGCAGUGGGGAAUUUUCCGCAAUGGGCGAAAGCCUGACGGAGCAAUACCGCGUGAGGGAAGAAGGCUCUUGGGUUGUAAACCUCUUUUCUUAGGGAAGAACAAAAUGACGGUACCUAAGGAAUCAGCAUCGGCUAACUCCGUG